rnacentral:rRNA from 1 species
GACGAACGCUGGCGGCGUGCUUAACACAUGCCAGUCGAACGGAAAGGCCCUGCUUUUGUGGGGUGCUCGAGUGGCGAACGGGUGAGUAACACGUGAGUAACCUGCCCUUGACUUUGGGAUAACUUCAGGAAACUGGGGCUAAUACCGGAUAGGAGCUCCUGCUGCAUGGUGGGGGUUGGAAAGUUUCGGCGGUUGGGGAUGGACUCGCGGCUUAUCAGCUUGUUGGUGGGGUAGUGGCUUACCAAGGCUUUGACGGGUAGCCGGCCUGAGAGGGUGACCGGCCACAUUGGGACUGAGAUACGGCCCAGACUCCUACGGGAGGCAGCAGUGGGGAAUAUUUCACAAUGGGCGGAAGCCUGAUGCAGCAACGCCGCGUGCGGGACGACGGCCUUCGGGUUGUAAACCGCUUUCGCCUGUGACGAAGCGUGAGUGACGGUAAUGGGUAAAGAAGCACCGGCUAACUACGUG